rfam:Dipodomys ordii contig_39423, whole genome shotgun sequence.
GGGAAAGUGGCUCAGUGGUAAGAGUGUUUGCCUUGCAUGCAUAAGGCCCUGGGUUCGAUUCCGCAGCACCA